UUUUUUUUUUUUAUUAAAACAAAUAGGGGAAAAGAAACUAACUAGGAUUCCCUUAGUAACGGCGAGUGAACCGGGAAAAGCUCAAAUUUGUAAUCUGGCUGUCUUCGAUAGUCCGAGUUGUAAUCUAUAGACGUGUUUUCCGUGCUGGACCGUAUCUAAGUCCCUUGGAACAGGGUAUCAAAGAGGGUGACAAUCCCGUGCUUGAUACGACCACCAGUGCUCUGUGAUACACGCUCUACGAGUCGAGUUGUUUGGGAAUGCAGCUCAAAAUGGGUGGUAAAUUCCAUCUAAAGCUAAAUAUUGGCGAGAGACCGAUAGCGAACAAGUACCGUGAGGGAAAGAUGAAAAGCACUUUGGAAAGAGAGUUAAACAGUACGUGAAAUUGUUGAAAGGGAAACGAUUGAAGUCAGUCGUGUUCUUUGGAUUCAGCUAGUUCUUCUAGUCUACUUCCAUUGAACGGGUCAACAUCAGUUUUGUCCGGUGGAUAAAGAUAGUAGGAAUGUAGCUCCCCCGGGAGUGUUAUAGACUAUUAUUGCAUACACUGGGUGAGACUGAGGACUGCAGCUCGCCUUUUGGCCGGUCUUCGGACACGUUCGAGCUUAGGAUGUUGACAUAAUGGCUUUAAACGACCCGUCUAAAAACCCGGGACCCAAAACAAAA
rnacentral:rRNA from 1 species